rnacentral:misc_RNA from 1 species
AGCAGCCGCGGUAAUUCCAGCUCCAAUAGCGUAUAUUAAAGUUGUUGCAGUUAAAAGCUCGUAGUUGAAUUUCGGGAUCAAUAUGUUUGGUCGUGCCUCGGUACGUACUAGCUUAUUGGUUUCUCCUUUCUGAAGAACCAUGAUGUCAUUCAUUUGGUGUCGUGGGGAAUCAGGACUGUUACUUUGAAAAAUUAGAGUGUUUAAAGCAGGCUCACGCUUGAAUACAUUAGCAUGGAAUAAUGAAAUAGGACGUUUGAUUCUAUUUUGUUGGUUUCUAGGAUCGACGUAAUGAUUAAUAGGGAUAGUUGGGGGCAUUAGUAUUCAAUUGUCAGAGGUGAAAUUCUUGGAUUUAUUGAAGACUAACUACUGCGAAAGCAUUUGCCAAGGAUGUUUUCAUUAAUCAAGAACGAAAGUUAGGGAUCGAAGACGAUCAGAUACGUCGUAGUCUUAACCAUAAACUAUAGACCGACUAGGGAUCGGAUAGUAUGUUAAUUUUUAAUGUACUCUAUUACGGCGUAAC